CUACGGGAGGCUGCAGUGGGGAAUAUUGGACAAUGGGCGAAAGCCUGAUCCAGCCAUGCCGCGUGUGUGAAGAAGGCCUUCGGGUUGUAAAGCACUUUCAGUGGGGAAGAAAGCCUUGGGGCUAAUACCCUCGAGGAAGGACAUCACCCACAGAAGAAGCACCGGCUAACUCCGUGCCAGCAGCCGCGGUAAUACGGAGGGUGCGAGCGUUAAUCGGAAUUACUGGGCGUAAAGCGCGCGUAGGCGGUCUGAUAAGCCGGUUGUGAAAGCCCCGGCUCAACCUGGGAACGGCAUCCGGAACUGUCAGGCUAGAGUGCAGGAGAGGAAGGUAGAAUUCCCGGUGUAGCGGUGAAAUGCGUAGAGAUCGGGAGGAAUACCAGUGGCGAAGGCGGCCUUCUGGACUGACACUGACGCUGAGGUGCGAAAGCGUGGGUAGCAAACAGGAUUAGAUACCCCAGUAGUC
rnacentral:rRNA from 1 species